rnacentral:rRNA from 1 species
UACGUAGGGGGCAAGCGUUGUCCGGAAUCAUUGGGCGUAAAGAGCGUGUAGGCGGUUCAGUAAGUCUGCUGUGAAAGUCCAGGGCUCAACCCUGGGAUGCCGGUGGAUACUGCUGGGCUAGAGUACGGAAGAGGCGAGUGGAAUUCCCGGUGUAGCGGUGAAAUGCGCAGAUAUCAGGAGGAACACCGGUGGCGAAGGCGGGUCUCUGGGCCGAAACUGACGCUGAGGAGCGAAAGCGUGGGGAGCAAACAGG